rnacentral:rRNA from 1 species
CAGUCGCCGCGGGAAUACGAAGGGUGCAAGCGUUAAUCGGAAUUACUGGGCGUAAAGCGUGCGUAGGCGGUUUGUUAAGUCUGUUGUGAAAUCCCCGGGCUCAACCUGGGAAUGGCAAUGGAUACUGGCAAGCUAGAGUGUGUCAGAGGAUGGUGGAAUUCCUGGUGUAGCGGUGAAAUGCGUAGAGAUCGGGAGGAACAUCAGUGGCGAAGGCGGCCAUCUGGGACAACACUGACGCUGAGGCACGAAAGCGUGGGGAGCAAACAGGAUUAGAUACCCCCGUAGUCCCUGUCUCUUAUAA